UGUUUAUGAGGCCAGAAACUUACACUUGG
rnacentral:piRNA from 1 species